UUUCUCUUCUUUCUCUUCUUUCUCCCCUUCUUUCUCCCCAUCUCUUUUUUCUCCCUCAUUCUCUUCUGAGCACUCUUCAAGAGAAGAACGAAGAGAAGGACGUUUCUGGAAAGCAAGAGAAGGAGA
rnacentral:ribozyme from 13 species